CAGGCCUUGACAUCCAAUGAACUUUCCAGAGAUGGAUUGGUGCCUUCGGGAACAUUGAGACAGGUGCUGCAUGGCUGUCGUCAGCUCGUGUCGUGAAAUGUUGGGUUAAGUCCCGCAACGAGCGCAACCCUUAUCCUUUGUUGCCAGCGGUCCGGCCGGGAACUCAAAGGAGACUGCCAGUGAUAAACUGGAGGAAGGUGGGGAUGACGUCAAGUCAUCAUGGCCCUUACGACCAGGGCUACACACGUGCUACAAUGGCGCAUACAAAGAGAAGCGACCUCGCGAGAGCAAGCGGACCUCAUAAAGUGCGUCGUAGUCCGGAUUGGAGUCUGCAACUCGACUCCAUGAAGUCGGAAUCGCUAGUAAUCGUGGAUCAGAAUGCCACGGUGAAUACGUUCCC
rnacentral:rRNA from 1 species